GGCCUCGUAGCUCAGUUGGUAGAGCAACGGGAAGUCCAUUCCGAGGUCGUGGGUUCAAAUCCCACCGAGGCUU